CGCAGUUUAAUAAUUGCCCUUCAAGUUUAAGCUGGCUAGAGUGAAGUUUCAAUGAAUGUCAAUGGACGGCGUGAGUUGCAAACAAAUGGUCAUAUUGUGAAAACUAUCAGGACUAUGGCUUAGCCGUGGACAUUUCUAGUGGCAGCAGGGAUAGCUGAACAUUUUGAUAUAAGAUUUGUGUAGGUGGGCUUGCAAAUGAGUGAGUGGUGGCAGUUUAGAAAUCAUAUCAUGAUUUUUCAGCUUUUGCCAGCUCCCAUUCUAGUUUUGAACAUUUUGCCAUUCAUUCCUAUGGGACCAAUUUCGCCACAAGAACGACGAUAUUCU